UACGUAGGGUGCUAGCGUUGUUCGGAAUCAUUGGGCGUAAAGCGCGUGUAGGCUGUUUGUUAAGUCGGAUGUGAAAUCCCUCGGCUCAACCGGGGAAGUGCAUCCGAAACUAACUGGCUAGAAGACGGUAGAGGAAGGUGGAAUUCCAAGUGUAGAGGUGAAAUUCGUAGAUAUUUGGAGGAAUACCUGUGGCGAAGGCGGCCUUCUGGACCGAUCUUGACGCUGAGACGCGAAAGCGUGGGGAGCAAACAGG
rnacentral:rRNA from 1 species